CGGAUCUCUUGGUUCUGGCAUCGAUGAAGAACGCAGCGAAAUGCGAUAAGUAGUGUGAAUUGCAGAAUUCAGUGAAUCAUCGAAUCUUUGAACGCACAUUGCGCCCCUUGGUAUUCCAUGGGGCAUGCCUGUUCGAGCGUCAU
rnacentral:rRNA from 1 species